GUUAUAUAAGGAGCCCACACAAAUGGGCGAAGAAUGGCCAGGGUGGCGUCGGAUCGGCUGUUUCCAGUUGUUUGUGACGAGACGAUUGCUUCCAUAGCGGAAAAAAUCUGCCUUGAUUGUCAAACAAAUAUUUGAAAUCAAACUGCGACACAUUUUACACAAGCCAUCAGCAGACCUCACCAAAAAAAGACCUCCUUUCAGCCGGCAUCAAGGGCGGUCAGCGUCUCAGCUGCCAUCUGCCGGUGAAUCGACAACUUCCUGAUGUGCAGGACACACCAGGUGAGGCUGGGGGGACACACCUCAUCCAUGCGCACUAUCAGCACCGGGGCUCUCAGAGGUUGUGUCCUCUCCCUUUUGCUCUUCUCACUCUACACAAACGACUGCACCUUGUGGCAUCCGACUGGCAAACUCCUGAAGUUUGCAGAUGACAACGGUCGUCGGCCUCAUCAAAGACGGCAACGAGUCUUCGUAUCAACAGAAAGUGGCAAGACUGGACCUUGGGUGUGGUCAACACAACCUGGCGUUGAACACUCUAAAGACUGUAGCGGUGACUGCGGACUCCAGGGGGCAUCCUGCACCACAGCUCCCCUUGAUGACGUCCAACUGUCUUUUGUCAAUCAUCGAGACCUUCAAGUUCUUGGGAAUUACAUUCUCAGAGGACCUGAAGUGGGAGACAAACAUCAACUCUAUCCUAAAAAAAAAAAAAAAAAGAUGUACUUCUUCCAGCUUCUGAUGAAGCAGGGCCUGUCACAAGAGUUGCUGAGACAGUUCUACACGGCAGUCAUUCAAUCAGUACUGUGUACUUCCAUCACAGUCUGCACUGGGGCUGCCACAAAAAAGGACAAACUCCAACUGCAACGGACAAUCAAAACUGCUAAACGAAUUCUCGUCACCACUCUACCCACUAAUGAGGACUUGCAUGCAACGUGAACUAGGUCCAGAGCAGGCAGGAUCCUCUCGGACCUACCACAUCCUGGCACCAGCUCUUCCAGCUCUUUCCAUCAGGUAAGCGCUACAGCUCAAUGCAAGUCAAAAGUAGCAAGCAUUCAAACAAUGUUUUUCCUCUGGCAAUUAAUUCAUUAAAUUGAUCAGCGAACCUACUAUUUUUCCUGCCUUGUGCCAUGUUAGGACACCCAAUCUCAUCCUGGUGGUUCAAUCAGUAUGAGUAUUAGUAAUAUAUUUUGUAGACUAUCGCACGAUUCGUCACUUUAAACUGCUCCCUUUGCACAAAUUGUCAUUGCACGAGUCUAUAACGUUAACCGCAAUCAGGUACAAGCACUGUAGACUGUACAAGCUUAACACAAUGUGGGACGUUGAAACACUUUUCUCUUACACGAUUACAAGAUUUCUAAAAGCAAAAGAUUUUACAUCUUGCACAACUUUUAUAAGCAAUAUUUCCUAUAAACAGAAAUGUCUCUUGUUCUUUGUUGUUGCUUUGUUCUUAGUUCUGAAUAGGGUUACGUACCGCGGCAGCGCCGACUGCCAGAGAAAAAUUCCUUGUGUGUUUUUACACACUUGGCCAGUAAAGCCGAUUCUGAUGGAGGUGAAA